rnacentral:lncRNA from 1 species
CGCGGCCGUGAGCAGCCGGACCCUCCAUCCCGCGUGGGCGGCCAACGGAGGACCCAGAGUCCUCCGCAAUUUCCGUCUCCAGGGUUUCCGCCCAGGUGCCAGCGAUUUCCUUCUAUAAGUUUUUGAAAUGACACUCCAUUUCCCUCUCUGGAUGGAAAUCUGUCCUCUCUCCUGUCCCACGCUCCCACCGAGCAACAGAUGACCACAGCAAGCCAGCAUCCACUCUGCAGUCUGCCCUCGGGUGGGACAUUCCCUGACACACAGCAGCAUUUUAUUCACCGUUGUGGGCGUCGAGGCGGAGGGGUGGGUGGCCACCGGAAGCCAGGGAGGCCUUCUUGGGAGACCAAGGAGGUUGGGCAGAAGAGGGCCAGGCGGAACUCGGCAGCUGAGGUAGCCAGAGACACAUGGCUGCAGCCCCACCGCACCCAAGGUGCGUGAUCAAGUACCCUGGACCCUGUGACGUUCCUCCGGGGUGUAGCCUCCAGCAUUGGUCUCCGGGCUCAGACUGCAGAAGAUGCUUGGCGGCAGCUAUCACCAGGCCAGGGGCGACACCAUCCCCGAGCUGCGUGGGCCAUCCCCUGCCUGCAGGUCGCUGAGGGCUCUCUGGAGAUGGGGAGGGGUGGUCAGGGAGCCCAGCAUCGCUGGCACCCUUCCCGCCCCUUCCUUGUACCCAGAUGGCUGCAUCCCACCAGAGACAGGAGAUGUGCCACCCACUGGCAUCCUUUCUGAGACCCACCUCCCUUCAGGGGCCUCUCCAGCCUCCACCCUGGCUCACCUCAAAUUUGCUCAUGAAUUCUGAAAAGAUGCCAAAGAAGGCCUCUGAGGUAGUGGCCUUGGAGUCCUCUCCGAAGAAGGCUAGUGCCUUCCCUAGCUCCUCCAUGGCCUCUCGCUGCAGACCAUCCAAUGCUCGCAGAGCUGGCUGCGCUGUUUCCAGAAAGGACUACAGGGCCUUGGUCAAGGAAACAGCCCCUGGUGCUUUACCCUCCUUGGCUGGACUGUGAGUCCAGAUAUCCCUAGCUACUCCACCCCCUCUGCUCUGAAGGAAUCUUCCUUUCUGCAGACCGAGAGCUAUGCUAUAACCCUCACUCACACCAACCCCUCCCCUCCCCUCCUCCACCCCACCUUCCUCACCCCCACCUCCCUACCCCCCAAUCCCACAUCUCUCCAGCCCCAGCCCCGCCCCUGUCACAGUUCCAGACCACCAGUCCUUAAUUUUAUGCACACUUAAUGUAC